ensembl:lncRNA
GCUCUGCUAACACAGGCCACUUGUAGGAGAGCACAGGGAGAGCAGCUCGCAGUGCUUAUGCAAUGGUGUGACUGCAGAGUGCCCGAGGAGAGCCAGCUCUUCUCUAGGCCUUUCAGAAAGAAGAGCCUUUGCCUCUGAAGCCUCCAGCUGAGAAGCCAUUACCUUGAGGAAUCCACAACUCGGACGUUCAUGGCGGGGGGGGAUGCUACUGUGAACGCCUGCCUAAUGGAAAACUUCAGGCUGUGCCAGGUUAAACAAGGAAGGUCAAGAGAGCUGCAAAGGCCAGCUGAGUCCGCGGGAGCACAUGAACUUCUGAG